UUGGAGUAUUUGUUAUGUCUUUGUUUAGUCAUGAUUGGGUUGAUUUCGUGUUGGAUCAGUUGAAAACGAGUUUAUUGAUAUUUUUGGUGAUCUACAAAAACUGUAUCGAAUCUGAGACGGUGGUGAUUAUUGCAAGAGCUCACCUUUCACAAUCAAAGAUUGUUCAUCAUUUACGGGUUUACACUUUCGGCAUGUCUAUAGCUGGUAUCCGGCAUGUAGAUAGCUGGGGUGCUUUCGGCAAGUCUAUAGCUGGUAUUCGGCAUG
rnacentral:lncRNA from 1 species